rnacentral:rRNA from 1 species
AGAGCGAACGCUGGCGGCAGGCCUAACACAUGCAAGUCGAGCGCCCGUAGCAAUACGGGAGCGGCAGACGGGAUAGUAACACGUGGGAACGCGCCCUUCGGUUCGGAAUAACUCAGGGAAACUUGAGCUAAUACCGAAUACGCCCUUACGGGGAAAGAUUUAUUGCCGAAGGAACGGCCCGCGUCCGAUUAGCUAGUUGGUGAGGUAAUGGCUCACCAAGGCUACGAUCGGUAGCUGGUCUGAGAGGAUGACCAGCAUCACUGGGACUGAGACACGGCCCAGACUCCUACGGGAGGCAGCAGUGGGGAAUCUUGCGCAAUGGGCGAAAGCCUGACGCAGCAACGCCGCGUGGAGGACGAAGGCUUUCUGAGUUGUAAACUCCUUUCAGCAGGGACGAUAGUGACGGUACCUGCAGAAGAAGCACCGGCCAACUACGUGCCAGCAGCCGC